CAUUGCACUUGUCUCGGUCUG
rnacentral:ncRNA from 4 species